rnacentral:rRNA from 1 species
GACGAACGCUGGCGGCGUGCUUAACACAUGCAAGUCGAGCGGAAAGGCCCUGCUUUUGUGGGGUGCUCGAGUGGCGAACGGGUGAGUAACACGUGAGUAACCUGCCCUUGACUUUGGGAUAACUUCAGGAAACUGGGGCUAAUACCGGAUAGGAGCUCCUGCUGCAUGGUGGGGGUUGGAAAGUUUCGGCAGUUGGGGAUGGACUCGCGGCUUAUCAGCUUGUUGGUGGGGUAGUGGCUUACCAAGGCUUUGACGGGUAGCCGGCCUGAGAGGGUGACCGGCCACAUUGGGACUGAGAUACGGCCCAGACUCCUACGGGAGGCAGCAGUGGGGAAUAUUGCACAAUGGGCGGAAGCCUGAUGCAGCAACGCCGCGUGCGGGGUGACGGCCUUCGGGUUGUAAACCGCUUUCGCCUGUGACGAAGCGUGAGUGACGGUAAUGGGUAAAGAAGCACCGGCUAACUACGUG